GAGAAACUCGUGAACCGUGUGUCAAUCCAUACGAUCGUAUCUAAAGAUGCCAGUUGCGUCUGUCUCCCUCCAUUCUUGCCCAUCUCUACCUGACACGGCGACAGAUCGUCAGUUCGUCACCGCCCAAUCAGUCUCCCAGCAUUUACCGGCUCCUCCGCACCUGCUGCUCCAGUUCCAGCUCUCCCAACACCAACAUGCUCGGCCUCCGGCGCCUCCCCGCUGUCUCCGGCCGCCUCGCGCCGGAGGUCACCUCCGUCUCUGCGGCCUCCUCCCACAGCGCCGUCUUCUUUCGCACCCUCCAAAUCCUCGUCCAGCAGGGGCCCGUCCGCCUCCAAAAGCUCUCUGCUCCGGACACCGGGAUCGUGGAGCUGAGGCUGGAGCGGCCGGAGGCCAAGAAUGCCAUAGGGAAGGAGAUGCUCCAGGGGCUGCGGAGCGCGAUCCAGGAGGUGGAGGCCGACACGGCUGCAAACGUCGUCUUGGUGACGAGCUCGGUGCCCAAGGUUUUCUGCGCGGGCGCUGAUCUCAAGGAAAGGAGGUUGAUGGGUCCUAGUGAAGUUCGGGACUUCGUUAAUUCCUUAAGGUCUACAUUUUCAUCCUUUGAGGCACUGUCUAUUCCUACAAUUGCUGUUGUCGAAGGGGUUGCUUUUGGUGGCGGGUUAGAAUUGGCUCUGUCAUGUGAUCUUCGCAUAUGUGGCAAGGAUGCAAAAUUCAGUUUGCCAGAGACUGGCCUUGCUAUUAUCCCAGGUGCUGGAGGAACACAGCGCCUUCCUAGGAUUGUUGGAAGGUCAAGAGCAAAAGAACUAAUAUUCACUGGUCGUAGAUUCGAUGCGGUGGAGGCUGUAACUAUGGGGUCAUGUAUGCUCACAUUGCAGGAGUAGUAAACUACUGUGUUCCUGCCGGCGACGCUUAUCAAAAGGCUCUUGAACUUGCGCGGGAGAUAAACCAGAAAGGCCCGUUAGCAGUAAAAAUGGCUAAGAAGGCCAUCGAUCAAGGGGCAGAGGUAGACUUGCCCUCAGCAUUGGCCGUUGAAGAAGAAUGCUACCAGCAAGUCCUGCACACUGAGGAUCGUCUUGAGGGUCUAGCCGCAUUCGCCGAGAAAAGAAAGCCUAUAUAUAAAGGGAAGUAGGGCCGUGUAUGGUCUUAGAUUCAUAAUAAUAGAAAGUCGCAUUAACAUGCCAUCCAAUAAUAGUGGCAUGAUUGCAUGACAUUGAUAUGUGCAAAUUCAUGUCUCUCUGUAACUUUCAGGAAAUAAGAUAAGAUGUAUCAGCGCUGCUACC